AGUCGAGCGGUAGAGAGGUGCUUGCACCUCUUGAGAGCGGCGGACGGGUGAGUAAAGCCUAGGAAUCUGCCUGGUAGUGGGGGAUAACGCUCGGAAACGGACGCUAAUACCGCAUACGUCCUACGGGAGAAAGCAGGGGACCUUCGGGCCUUGCGCUAUCAGAUGAGCCUAGGUCGGAUUAGCUAGUUGGUGAGGUAAUGGCUCACCAAGGCGACGAUCCGUAACUGGUCUGAGAGGAUGAUCAGUCACACUGGAACUGAGACACGGUCCAGACUCCUACGGGAGGCAGCAGUGGGGAAUAUUGGACAAUGGGCGAAAGCCUGAUCCAGCCAUGCCGCGUGUGUGAAGAAGGUCUUCGGAUUGUAAAGCACUUUAAGUUGGGAGGAAGGGCAUUAACCUAAUACGUUAGUGUUUUGACGUUACCGACAGAAUAAGCACCGGCUAACUCUGUGCCAGCAGCCGCGGUAAUACAGAGGGUGCAAGCGUUAAUCGGAAUUACUGGGCGUAAAGCGCGCGUAGGUGGUUCGUUAAGUUGGAUGUGAAAUCCCCGGGCUCAACCUGGGAACUGCAUUCAAAACUGUCGAGCUAGAGUAUGGUAGAGGGUGGUGGAAUUUCCUGUGUAGCGGUGAAAUGCGU
rnacentral:rRNA from 1 species